UAAGAGCCUAAGUACAACUUAUCCUGGUCAUUUUUCAUUUUCAUAUUUGAUACGGUAGCGAAACUCUAGCAAAUGUGACCAUGCUAAUAAUGCACUAUCAAUGACGGUAAUUUUUUUUUUUCAGGACUUGCUUUUGAAUUCAAUUUGCUGACACAGCAACCGUGUUUGUCUCUUAUAAUUGCAGUUUUGGAAGAAUCACAGCCUUGUAUGGACGUCCCGAACAACUGCUAGUAGCCUCUUGCAAUGCAAACGGAUUGAAUUUAAUGCUUCUAACGAGACUGGUGUCAUGCUCACAGAGAAAGGCAUUUAUGCUGCCGAAAGUUAUUCGGAGCAGCAAUUUUGGACUUUCGACAAGAACGGUUCACUAAGUGUUGAUUACAAAGACAGGUAUCAAUUGAAUGAAUGGUUGCAAUAUGAAAACACUACCGCGAACUGUUCCGUUGUUAGGAUUGACAGGUGGAGUUAUACCGAUG